rnacentral:rRNA from 1 species
UACAGAGGUGGCAAGCGUUGUUCGGAAUUACUGGGCGUAAAGGGCGCGUAGGCGGCCUUCUAAGUCGGACGUGAAAGCCCCAGGCUUAACCUGGGAACUGCGUCCGAUACUGGGAGGCUUGGAUUCGGGAGAGGGAUGUGGAAUUCCAGGUGUAGCGGUGAAAUGCGUAGAUAUCUGGAGGAACACCGGUGGCGAAGGCGGCAUCCUGGACCGAGAUCGACGCUGAGGCGCGAAAGCUAGGGAGCAAACGGG